AUUGAACGCUGGCGGCAGGCUUAACACAUGCAAGUCGAGCGGGGGAAGGUAGCUUGCUACUGGACCUAGCGGCGGACGGGUGAGUAAUGCUUAGGAAUCUGCCUAUUAGUGGGGGACAACAUCUCGAAAGGGAUGCUAAUACCGCAUACGUCCUACGGGAGAAAGCAGGGGAUCUUCGGACCUUGCGCUACUAGAUGAGCCUAAGUCGGAUUAGCUAGUUGGUGGGGUAAAGGCCUACCAAGGCGACGAUCUGGAGCGGGUCUGAGAGGAUGAUCCGCCACACUGGGACUGAGACACGGCCCAGACUCCUACGGGAGGCAGCAGUGGGGAAUAUUGGACAAUGGGGGGAACCCUGAUCCAGCCAUGCCGCGUGUGUGAAGAAGGCCUUAUGGUUGUAAAGCACUUUAAGCGAGGAGGAGACUACUUUAGUUAAUACCUAGAGAUAGUGGACGUUACUCGCAGGAUAAGCACCGGCUAACUCUGUGCCAGCAGCCGCCGUAA
rnacentral:rRNA from 1 species